UCGUUCCUUUACAACAUCUUCAAACAGAGGCCACCUGGUAUGGCGGUAAGGCCGACGAGCGUGUGGCAUGGAAUGAAGUUGCAAAUGAGCUACGCGUACAUUUCGGGACUGAUGGUAAAAUCGCCUGGAACAUCUAUUACUGUCGUAAUUAGUUUUAGAUCUGUAACUUGAUUGACAUUUCGAAAGACGCUUAUUAAGUAGAGAGGCAAUACUUAGCAUAAUAUUUUGCAUUUGUUCAUCCAAUGAUGGAGGAGUAUAGAAGUUACGUUUGUAUUUUGUAAGCUUGAUGAUACCAUAAUUAAUUGGCAUUUUUUACUAGAAGUCUUGUAGUGGUGAGUUCAAAAGG
rnacentral:lncRNA from 1 species